UUUUCUAAAAAUCAUAAAUCUAAAAAGGAUCUCUUACUUACAAAAAUAUGUCAAGCAAGGAAGGUAACUUCAGUUACGGAUAACAAAACAAAAAUCAUAGAGAUUGCAAGAGAAAAACAGAAAUGUUUAAUAGAAGAUAAUAUGGAUUCUGAUAAUGCUACAGAAGAAAAUAUUGAUCCUAAUAUUCCACGAGAGGACGAUUUUUCAAUGAAAGUUCAGGAUAUCAAAUAAAGAUGUAUCUCCAAGUACAAGUGCAAGAUCGAUAAAUAUAGAGACACCAGAAUUACGUCAAAAGAGUCCAGUUACUUCACAUGUGACAGCUGUAACUACACCGAGUUCAUCUUGUAGAUCAAGUAGUGUAUUAGAUGUGUCUAAAGCGACCUUUGAUAUGAAAGCUUUUG